rnacentral:rRNA from 1 species
AUACGAAGGUCCCGAGCGUUGUUCGGAAUCACUGGGCGUAAAGGGAGCGUAGGCGGUUUGGUAAGUCAGAUGUGAAAUCUCGGGGCUCAACCCCGAAACUGCAUUUGAUACUGCCAGACUUGAGUAAUGGAGGGGUAGCUGGAAUUCUCGGUGUAGCAGUGAAAUGCGUAGAUAUCGAGAGGAACACUCGUGGCGAAGGCGAGCUACUGGACAUUUACUGACGCUGAGGCUCGAAGGCUAGGGUAGCGAACAGGAUUAGAAACCCUAGUAGUCC